rnacentral:lncRNA from 1 species
CCGCUUCGCUUCCCUGUGCGUUGGCGCCGCCUCGCGGCUGCGCUGCGGGCAUUGCGGGCUGCGAGUUCCUUGGCAGACCUGGUCGAGGACCAGGCCAGCAGGGCUCGGGCGGCGGGCUGCCGCGGGCCGGCGCGGAGAGACGCUCGGCCCUGCCGCGCAGACCCGAGAGGGCGGGCCACGCUGCGCCUUUCGGGCGCCAGCCGCGGCGUGAGCCCGCGCGCGGGUCUGAGUCAGGGUCUCGGCAGCCGCUCUCCACUGGGGACGCCUACGCUCUCCACUGAGGAGCCGGGCGCCGGGAGUCCAGAGAGACCGCGAAGUUGGCCGUGGAUGGGAGAGACGCCAGGAAGCUUCGCGGGGACACAAAGAGCCGGGUGUGGGUGGCGACGCGUCAAGGUGAUCAGCAAUUCGUUUAACAGAGAUCGAUGCGUUCUAAAUCCUUUCUCAGGAAUUUCUGCACGACCGGUGGAGUUGGACAGAUGGCAGACCUAGCUUGCACUCCCAGCCCUACUCCUGCCCUGCUGAAUUCUGCAGAAGUACACAUACUGCCAUCUGAUUCUAUCCCAGCACCUGCAUCUCCGACCUCAUCUGGGACACUUCAUUUAGGAGUGGCUGGUAAAGGAGGCUGUUUUGAACUGCACAACUUCUUAUCUGACUGGAGGAACACUCUGUUAGCCCAGAUGGAAGUGGGACACUGA